AACAAAAUUUAGUACUUAAAUGGUUAAUUUAAUACUUAAUAUCUUAAAUUCUGCCACAAGAAAUAGGGGUGAACAAAAUUAAACCUUUUUUGUAUUGAUCAGUUUGCAAUAAGAAUCAAAAUGUCAGAAUACAAACACGUUAUUGCGAUUCGGUAGAUAGUUAAUAAAGAACAAAUAGGAAAAACCAUCCAUGAAUACAUGUAUAAUAUCCCUAACUAUAGCUGUUGUUUGGUCAGUCUAGGCUCAGGUGCGAACUGUUGACCCACUAAAGUUUGUGCCUCUUCAUUUCUUGAUGUCCACUCAGCUGCCUGUACCGACUGAAGUGUGGACACCUCAGUCCAUUGACCUUCAUUGUUUUUUCAUCCGGUGAUCUCAACAACUUUGGAACUAAGUCAACAGAUUCAACAAUGAUGAAGUUGUAUAAAGCUGUUUUCAUGGACACAAUGACAACAUCAUCCAACCAACAAGUUUUGGAGUCAUUCAAAUUCUUCCGUCCUGCCAUCCUACUCCAUGGACAUGUGACCAAGUGAGCAACCCAGCUGUUUAGCUACCCAGGUCAAAGAUACCCACUUUGUUGUUUGGAGUGAUGUCGAAAAAACUGGCCUGUCUUCUACAAGUAUGCUGAGAAACUGCACGGUGAAAAGUCUUGCAUUAAAAAAACAGAGGACUUGGACACACAGAUGUUUACUACAAACUCACACAACAAACAAAGUG